rnacentral:lncRNA from 1 species
UCAAACCAGGCUUUUUAGCCCGGCCCUUAAAAGCCCUUGGCUCGGCCAGGCCGGGCCUAAACGGGCCGGGCCGCCCGUUUUGACAACUUUAUAAGUAACAAAACUACAUAAAGGGUAAUGAGCUGACAAACUUUAAUCAGUUACUGUCAAAUUUAUUUUCCUCCCAUCUUUUCCAAUAAAUCAGUUACCUAUCCAUUAAAUCAUCAUUGAUUCACCUUGAAGAAACACUAUUAGGAUUGAGUCUCUUGGUUACAGGAAGAGAUUCGGGACUUUGGGUAGAAUUAGGUUUUAAAACUGAUUCUUGCAACCCUUUGAUUCUUUCAUAAAGUUAGUCAUCAUUAUAGUGGAACGGAGGGCUGCUCUCUACCCAGACUAGGUCAGUAUUUGACCGAAUUAAGUAAACAAAUUUUCGUAUGUUCUCUCUCUUUCUCUCACUGUUUUUUACUUUUACUUGUCUUUAUAACUAGUAGUUUGCUCUUCUUAUUGACAUCCCAUCAUCACAAGGAGAUAGAGACAAUAACGAUAAAGGUUCUCUCACUGAGAAUAUAUGUGUAUUGAUCUAGAAAGAUAUAUCACAUCAACCAUAUCGGAUUAUAAAUUCAGGUAUGUAUGCUUACGUAUAGUAAUCUACUAUUUUUUAUGAUUAACAAGAUUGACUCUAGGGAUUAAAAUUGAGUUUGAUUCUAACAGUCAAGGAAGUAACUCAUUCAUAUCUGGUAAUAUACUAAGAAGUAAAAUCAUUUCACAUGAAUUGAUUGUUGUUUUAUUUGGGCAAACAAAGUUUAAUAUACUUAUGAAUUAAACACAUUUUAAUAAAGAUUUGAUUAAAUCGACACCCAUUGAAUUAACUAUAAUGACAAUUCAGAUGAGAAUAACGAUAAAUAUGGGAGAAUUAUCAAUUCUCACAUCAUUUAAUUAGAAAGCAAUACAGAAAACAUUGUUUAUUUAUAGCAACUAGUAUACUAAGCAUUGCCACAUGUGAUUCCAGCUGACCAUUCAUUUUCUUAGCAAAGUACAUUAUGCUGCAUAACUUCUCUUUCCACAAAUGACUUAGAAAUUUUGUUCAAGACCUGAAAUUAAAAUCAAGAAGGUUAUUAUUACCAUUAUAUUUUGUAGUUUGGGAAUUUUGAAAUGCACAACAACAAGAUGAUUAAAAUAAAAUUCUAAUUCCAUAAGCAAUUAAUGCGUUGGUUAUGAUCGAAAUAAACUUAUAAGAAUAUCAGUUCAUCUCACCAUCUAGAAAGACCUUCUGGAUUGUGGUAAGCUCUCUAGUGACAUCCACAAUAUUCAUUCUUUCUUUUGGUGAUUCCAAUGAACAAAAAAGUCCAAUCCUAAAAAGGGAAACUAAGCACUCCUCUACAGUUGGAAGAAGAAUCUCAUGAUUUCCAUCUUCUCGUGCUCCAUCUUCAGCUCUUGGUAAAAGAUGUGGAUCCAAAAUCUUUAUAAGAUUGCAAGGAAAUGAAAUUGUAACAAAGUUAUGUAGAUUUUGACCGUCUUUAAAAAGUUCAUCGGUGGGUCUUCUUCCGGUAAGCAUUUCCAGCAUAAGGAUUCCAAAGCUAUACAUGUCACCAUAAGUGGAUACUUCUGAACCCAUCCCAUACUCUAAAAUAUGUAACAAAAUGUGUUAUAUAUAUAUGAAGAAUUAAAAAAAAAUAUGAAGAAUUAAAAAAACAAAGCAAGAUUCAAGAAUUUAAAACAUACCCGAUGGAGCAUAACCAACUGUUCCUUUUAUUCCGAUCGUACUAGUAUUCUUAUUAGAGGUACCGGAAAUGGUUGAGACAAGUCUUGCUAUGCCAAAAUCACUCACAUGAGCAACCAUGUCAUCAUCAAGAAGGACAUUGCUUGGUUUUAGAUCACAAUGAAGGAUUAACUGCUCACAUUCUCGAUGAAGGUAAUGCAAUGCAGAAGCAACAUCGAUGAUGAUGUUUAAUCUAUGACCAAGGUUCAAUGUUGUUGGAGGAUUUGCAUUCAAAGUCUCAGGAUGUAACCACUGUUCUAAGCUUCCAUUUUUCAUGUAUUCAAAAACUAGAGCUUUAAAUUCUUGACCUUUGUAAUUUGUGCUAGAACAACAUGUUAAAACCUUAACCAAAUUUCGGUGUCUAAUAUUUUUGAGUGCGUUACAUUCAACAACGAAACUCUUGUGAGCUCCCUUUUUAUGGAGGUUCAAGACUUUAACUGCAACAACAUUAUCUUCUGAAACAAUAUUUCCUCUGUAUACGGAACCAAAACUUCCUGAUCCGAUCAUGUUUCUAUCUGAGAAUCCAUCGGUUCCUACGUGUAAUUCUUGGUAUGAAACCUUAGCUAGUUGAUCAAUUGUUGGUGAAUCAAAAGAUCUCUUUUGAUUUCUCUUCCUCAUCAUGUAGAUAGUGAUGAUAAAUGAAAGUAUGAGAAUAAAAGAAACCACACUAACUAUCACUGCUAUCAACCUGAACUUGUGUUGUUUUGCAUGUUUCCUACCCUUGAUAGGGCAUGGUGGUAGAUGCAGGUGGGAAAUACCUCCACAAAGCUUUUUGUUUCCAAUCACUUCUAUUUGGGUUGCAUUUCCAAAUACACCAUUUGUCGGUACCUCUCCUUCCAACAUGUUAAAAGAAACAUUCAAAUAUUCCAAAAAUGAGAUAUUUUGCAUACCAUCAGGAAUUGAUCCAGACAAUUGAUUUCUUGAAAGGUCUAAAUAUCGAAGACCUUUGAGAGAAGCCAAAGAGGACGGUAUUGUUCCGUUGAAGGAGUUCCUUUGCAAAUGAAUAUAUUCUAAGCUUAUACAUUCACCAAUUUCUCUCGGAAUAUCACCAGAUAGAUGAUUCUCAGAGACAUCUAAUUCUUCAAUAUUUUUUAACAUACUCACUUCUCUUGGUAAGGUACCACUCAAAGAGUUAUGUGACAAGUUCAAUAAGAUUGAUAAAGAAAAAAGAUUUAAAACCUCUACAGGUAUGGUUCCUCUAAGCUUAUUAUGAGACAGAUCUAGAUAUUGUAAAUUUUGACAGUUUCCUAAGCUUGGAGGAAUAAUUCCUUGAAACAUAUUAUGAUCUAAUUCUAAAUCAUACAAUUGACUGAGAUUGCCUAUGAAGGGUGGAAUAUCUCCUGACAACUUGUUUUCCUCCAAAUGUAAUCUCUGCAUAUUUUUUAACUUCCCAAAUGUAGUUGGAAUAGUUCCUUCAAAGCAGUUAGACUCCAUGGUCAAGAGAAUUAAGCCAACUACACUUCCUAAUUCUGCAGGAAUUUUUCCUGAUAUCUGAUUACCCCCCAUAUAUAGUUGUUUAAGUUCAGUGGAUAAAUUCCCUAUGGAAUUUGGCAAAUGACCUCCAAAAUUAUUAUAAGAUAUCGAAAACUUGUGUAGUUUACUGCAAUUUGUCAAAUAUUUUAAAAACUCUAAAUCCAUAGUUGAAUUAUCACCUAAAUUGUUUUCUUCCAAAUUUAGAAUGGAAAGGUCUUGUAAAUUCCCUAGACUUGGAACUUGUCCAACCAAAUUCAUGUUUUCUGAUAAGUCUAAUAUUUGUAGGGCAGAAGCGUUUGCAAUCGAAAAAGGGAUUGGACCUGAGAAUUGAUUUCCUGCAAAAUCAAAUAUUUUAAGAUUGGGGAGGGUGUGGAAGAUGUUGGGUGGAAAAGAGCCGAGAAAGUUAUUUUGUUCCACCGCAAGGGAAAUAAG